AAAGCAAUUGUUGAAGAUGAGAAACUUCAGUGUAAGAUAAAUGAUAAGGACAAACAGAAGAUUCUUAACAAAUGUAAUGAAGUCAUCAACUGACUGAAUAAGAAUCAAACUGCAGAGAAGGGAAAAAAAAAAAAACUUGCAUGAAGGAAGAAUUUGAAUAUCAGCCAAAAGAGCUGGAGAAAGUCUGCAACCCCAUCUUUACCAAAAUGUACUAGAAUGGAGGAGGCAUGCCCGGAGGAAUGCCUGGGGGAUUCCCUAGUGGGGAGCUCCUACCCCAGGGGUGCUUCCUCUGGGCCCACCAUUGAAGAAGUUGAUUAACCCAGCCCAAGGACAGAUGUAGCAUUGUUCCACAUGGUAAUAUGUGGAAGACCCAAAUUUGUAGCAAAUUCUGUGGCAGUUUUAAAAUUGCUGCUACAGUAAAUUAUUGGACAUUCUCAAUAGUUGAAUAUGGAACAUGUACACAGGAAAAGGAAAUAAUAUUGCACUUUAUAAGCCCUGUAUUAUAAGUGGGAAAUGCAAGUCUUAAAUAAAAAACUGUAUUUAAAUUGGCAUAAAAAAUAAAUAAAUGAUUCU
rnacentral:lncRNA from 1 species